UUCUUGUUGAUAGUUUGUGUUUUAAUAUGGAAAUUCUGCUUAUGUUUACUGAUGAUUGCAUAUUAAAACACAAACUAUCAACAAGAACAGCUUUAUCAUCACACCAAAAUGCAAAAUUCUGUUUCACUUUCCACAACCAACCUCAUGAUUCCAUCCUAAUCAUGAUGGGGAAGAAAGAAGAGAGCUCUGUAUCGUAUCAUUUCGAUACUUUUCAGUUCAUCCUAAACAAUCCUAAUGUCAAGCUGUCAUAUGCUAUAAUUCUAACCGGUAAAAUUUUACACACCAAUCGAUACCUUCCAUAGAGUUCUACAUCUGAAGUUUCUUCCCUUCUAAAAUUCUAUUUACAAACCUCCUAGCCAAGGGGCACAGUUGGACAACUGAAAUUUUACGGUUAUUCGCUUCCAAAGUCAUCAUAACUCACACCUUCUGAUAUAGUGUCCAACCUUUUAUUAUCUCCUUGAUGUUCUCUCUCACGAGAAUCCAAGAAAUUAUCAUUGUCUGAUGCUAGGAAGGGCGAUCUUGGAUAGUUCUCCAAAAUAUCUGAACUCUGAGCAAAAUGAGCUGUCAAAUCAGAGAGACUGAAACUUUGAGGAAUUUGAUCCAGAAAUCCAUAUGAAGAAGUGUCAGCAUCCAAAAGUGGUUCAUUCAGAGCUUGUGAAUUAGAUUCUGCACUACUGAAAGAUGCAACAGAUGCAUCUGGAAUUGAAGGGCGUGCUUCCAGGACAUUGCCAUCAGCACUGAACAUAUAAGGGGAAGUGCCUGGAUAACCAGAUUCAGAUUUGAUCAUUCCCCCAUUUAGUCCUUGCAUCAAACCCAUGUUUGGGCCUUGUGUUGAAAGCAUGUUUUGAGGGGCAUCAAUUCUAGUGGUAUGAGCAGACAUAUCAACAGCAGUGCGCAUACUUGAGUGCAGCGCUGAUCCACCAUUGGUAAAUGCAUUAGUCAUACUGGAACCAAAUGGAUGAUGCAUGUUCUCCGGCUUCAAUGCUGGUCCUGUAUGCUCUGUGGCAUAGCAUGCUGAAUUCUGGUGAAUUGGUGGCAUAUGUGAUCCAUUAGAAGUAGGCAUUGAAACAACUCCGGUUGGAUUUAUCUGACGCAUCAAUCGCACCUGUUGCUCAAGCAACUUGUUAAAUUCUAUUAUUUGGUGCUUCACUGUCAGUCUCAAAUAAUACGCCUUGAAAAAUUCCCGAUUUUCUUCUUCAAGCUUUUGCCAAACAAGUUCAGUGAAACCCGGCUCUAUCUUUGCCUGAGCUAAUAACGUUUCGACAACUUCCCUCUGGUUCAUGUACAAUUGAAGACACCGUUCUAUCAAAUUUUGCACCACUUGUAUAUCUUUGGUUGAGACCCUUCUUGCUGGUCCACUCGACAUAUCUUGAGAUUCUACAGAAAUGAAAGCUAUUUAAGAAAGCAACUGCAAUUCACUUGUUACAGUCUACAGUUGAUCCAGAAAACUUCACACAAUGCCCUUCAGCAUUAAAAAUAUCAUAUGCAAGAGAAAUCUAAACUUGGAUCUUUAGACCUUGAAAUUUGAUUCCUCAUGACUUCCACUACUGAAUUUCCAAAAGCUUCGAAGGGUAU
rnacentral:misc_RNA from 1 species